GGGUUGUGAGGUUAAGCGACUAAGCGUACACGGUGGAUGCCCUGGCAGUCAGAGGCGAUGAAGGACGUGCUAAUCUGCGAAAAGCGUCGGUAAGGUGAUAUGAACCGUUAUAACCGGCGAUGUCCGAAUGGGGAAACCCAGUGUGAUUCGUCACACUAUCGUUAACUGAAUACAUAGGUUAACGAGGCGAACCGGGG
rnacentral:rRNA from 1 species